rnacentral:lncRNA from 1 species
GGGUGGGGAAAAAUGAGGACCGAAGGCGGGAAAGGAGAGGGGAGGCGAUGACUGAUAAAAUCGAGCCCGUCAUGGAUCUAGGAGAUUUUAGGCACAUUAUUAGCAACGGCUAAAUUACGUCCCUAAAGCCGUCGUUAAUAAUAAUUUAAUUUUAUAGCGACAGCAUUCUGUCACUAAUAAUCGAAAACACCAUUGCUAAUAAGUCUAACAAUUUUAACAACAGAUAUGAUUUUCAUUGUAAUUUUCUGUCGAUAAAAAUAUCUAUCAGCGACAGUUUUUUUGCCAUCACUA